rnacentral:rRNA from 1 species
CCUACGGGUGGCAGCAGUGGGGGAUAUUGCACAAUGGGGGGAACCCUGAUGCAGCGACGCCGCGUGGGUGAAGGAGUAUUUCGGUAUGUAAAGCCCUAUCGGCAGGGAAGAAUUUAGACGGUACCUGACUAAGAAGCCCCGGCUAACUACGUGCCAGCAGCCGCGGUAAUACGUAGGGGGCAAGCGUUAUCCGGAUUUACUGGGUGUAAAGGGAGCGUAGACGGCAUGGCAAGUCUGAUGUGAAAACCCGGGGCUCAACCCCGGGACUGCAUUGGAAACUGUCAGGCUAGAGUGUCGGAGAGGCAAGUGGAAUUCCUAGUGUAGCGGUGAAAUGCGUAGAUAUUAGGAGGAACACCAGUGGCGAAGGCGGCUUGCUGGACGAUGACUGACGUUGAGGCUCGAAAGCGUGGGGAGCAAACAGGAUUAGAUACCCUUGUAGUC